rnacentral:misc_RNA from 1 species
UUUGGAGCGUGUAUAUGAAACUGUGAAUCAGCGUUUGAAUAGUUGAUCACAAUUCUCAUCUCACAAAUCCAUAGUUUUGGAACAAAUGAGUUUGGCAAAGGGACAUUUAUGCGGGUGUUACCAAUCACUGUCAACUUAAACUGUACGUCGAUGGUUUUGCUCAAGACGUGAGAAAGGCCACAAGGGUCAAAGUCUUCUCUUUCGGAACGUCCAAUGCCUCCUCCACUGAAGACGUCAAACACUAUGAAAUUUUGCUUCUUCUCUCGCACCAUCUACCACCACUACCAUUAGUUUUUGCAACAUGUCUACGCCGGCAGAAUACUAUCGUUCUUUACCACCGGUGAGCAAGACCUAUGGGGUGGCUUGUUUGAUGACCACAGCUGCCUACUAUCUGCAUCUUUACAACGUCGGGAAUAUAGCACUCUUUUAUGAGGAUGUAAUUAAACGUUUCCAGGUAUGGAGGCUGAUUACCAAUUUCUUUUUUCUGGGGCCAUUUUCAUUUCCUUUUGCAUUUCGUCUUAUAAUGAUGUGAGUAAUUCAUCUCAUAUAUUACAAUUAUAGUUAAUAUGUGAUUUAGCUCUGCAGUUCAGCCAAUCUGCUUCUUUUAGCAAAUAGUUUUGUUUCUAUGUUUCUUAACUUAAAUUUCAUAGAGCAAGGUAUGGGGUUUCUUUGGAAAGAGGACCUUUUGACAAGAGGACUGCAGACUUUGUGUGGAUGUUCUUCUUUGGAGCACUUUCACUUCUUGUAAGUUGGAAUAAUUAUGAUUCAGAUCGUACCAAAAAUAUAAAAUGGUAUAAUUGAGAAUUUGUCAUGAGUUCAUACAAGCCUUCAGAUGCAAACUCUUAUAUUGCCGUUGUUUGUUUAGUACUAAACUACAUAGAAAUCGGACAAUGAUAAAGUGCUACUGUUCGAUCAUAGGUGAUGGCAGCUGUUCCAAUGCUCUGGUCUCCUUUCAUGGGAGUUUCCUUGGUUUUUAUGAUCGUCUAUGUCUGGGCACGUGAAUUCCCAAAUGCACGUAUCAACAUAUAUGGACUUGUGUCGUUGAAGGGAUUCUAUCUUCCAUGGGCAAUGCUAGCCCUGGAUCUGAUUUUCGGGAAUCCAUUGAUGCCAGAUAUUCUGGGGAUGGUUGCUGGACAUCUAUAUUAUUUCCUGACAGUGCUUCAUCCUCUUUCUGGUGGAAAUUUCGUCCUGAGGACUCCUCUCUGGGUUCACAAACUGGUUGCAUUUUGGGGUGAAGGGACACAAGUAAAUGCCCCAGUGCAGCGUGAUCCCUCCGCAGGAGUUGCUUUCCGAGGAAGAAGCUACCGUCUCAAUGGUACCAGAACCAGGCCUUCAGAAGACUCUCAGGGAACCACUCCAGCACAGCAGCCAAAUAAUUCCGCUGGUGGAGUGGCUUUUCAGGGAAGAAGUUAUCGUCUUGGUGUCCGUUAGGUACCUUACUGUUGUAACCAGUGCUUUCUGCAUCAAAUUAUAGGUGCAAAUUAAUGUAUUACUGCAUUUAGAACCAUAAUAGCAACCAAGCCUACAAGGUGACAAAUGCUACCCAAUCAGAUUUUCAUAUUGUUAAAGGAUUGCAAGGAUGGACCGUUCCCGGUAUCAUAUUUAAGCAACCAAGGUAAUUCAGUUGUAUGUUUGCAAUGUAGACCCUGUGUUUGAGCUCUAAAAGGCAGAUG